rnacentral:ncRNA from 1 species
AAAAAUUUGGUCAUUUCUGGCCAGGGCCAACUGUUGCCUGAAGAAGGGUAA